rnacentral:rRNA from 1 species
CUGAGUACGGCGGAACACGUGAAAUUCCGUCGGAAUCCGGGAGGACCAUCUCCCAAGGCUAAAUACUCCCUAGUGACCGAUAGUGAACCAGUACCGUGAGGGAAAGGUGAAAAGCACCCCGGAAGGGGAGUGAAACAGUUCCUGAAACCGUGUGCCUACAAGUAGUUAGAGCCCGUUAAUGGGUGAUAGCGUGCCUUUUGUAGAAUGAACCGGCGAGUUACGAUUUGUUGCAAGGUUAAGCGGAAAAAGCGGAGCCGUAGCGAAAGCGAGUCUGAAUAGGGCGCAUAAGUAACAGGUCGUAGACCCGAAACCAGGUGAUCUACCCAUGUCCAGGAUGAAGGUAAGGUAAUACUUACUGGAGGUCCGAACCCACGCACGUUGAAAAGUGCGGGGAUGAGGUGUGGGUAGCGGAGAAAUUCCAAUCGAACUUGGAGAUAGCUGGUUCUCUCCGAAAUAGCUUUAGGGCUAGCCUCGAGGUAAAGAGUCAUGGAGGUAGAGCACUGUUUGGACUAGGGGCCCUUCUCGGGUUACC